rnacentral:rRNA from 1 species
GCAGUCGAGGGGUAUAGUUCUUCGGAACUAGAGACCGGCGCACGGGUGCGUAACGCGUAUGCAAUCUACCUUUUACAGAGGGAUAGCCCAGAGAAAUUUGGAUUAAUACCUCAUAGUAUAUAGCCCUGGCAUCAGGAUUAUAUUAAAGUCACAACGGUAAAAGAUGAGCAUGCGUCCCAUUAGCUAGUUGGUAAGGUAACGGCUUACCAAGGCUACGAUGGGUAGGGGUCCUGAGAGGGAGAUCCCCCACACUGGUACUGAGACACGGACCAGACUCCUACGGGAGGCAGCAGUGAGGAAUAUUGGACAAUGGGCGCAAGCCUGAUCCAGCCAUGCCGCGUGCAGGAUGACGGUCCUAUGGAUUGUAAACUGCUUUUAUACGAGAAGAAACACUCCUUCGUGAAGGAGCUUGACGGUAUCGUAAGAAUAAGGAUCGGCUAACUCCGUGCCAGCAGCCGCGGUAAUACGGAGGAUCCAAGCGUUAUCCGGAAUCAUUGGGUUUAAAGGGUCCGUAGGCGGUUUAAUAAGUCAGUGGUGAAAGCCCAUCGCUCAACGGUGGAACGGCCAUUGAUACUGUUAGACUUGAAUUAUUAGGAAGUAACUAGAAUAUGUAGUGUAGCGGUGAAAUGCUUAGAGAUUACAUGGAAUACCAAUUGCGAAGGCAGGUUACUACUAAUUGAUUGACGCUGAUGGACGAAAGCGUGGGUAGCGAACAGGAUUAGAUACCCUGGUAGUCCACGCCGUANACGAUGGAUACUAGCUGUUGGAAGCAAUUUCAGUGGCUAAGCGAAAGUGAUAAGUAUCCCACCUGGGGAGUACGUUCGCAAGAAUGAAACUCAAAGGAAUUGACGGGGGCCCGCACAAGCGGUGGAGCAUGUGGUUUAAUUCGAUG